UACGUAGGGUGCAAGCGUUGUCCGGAAUUAUUGGGCGUAAAGGGCUCGUAGGCGGCCAACUAAGUCAGACGUGAAAUCCCUCGGCUUAACCGGGGAACUGCGUCCGAUACUGGUGGGCUCGAAUCCGGGAGAGGGAUGUGGAAUUCCAGGUGUAGCGGUGAAAUGCGUAGAUAUCUGGAGGAACACCGGUGGCGAAGGCGGCAUCCUGGACCGGUAUUGACGCUGAGGCGCGAAAGCCAGGGGAGCAAACGGG
rnacentral:rRNA from 1 species